AUGCAGCUGGAGAGAGGACACCUGGACACCUGCCCAAUCCAGUGACGUCAGCCUCAUUCGCUGUCAGAAGGGUGCGGGGCCUCGGGGGCGGAGUCUCUCCCGCCUCUGCCCUCGGUCUAGUCUGGCCACCUUCCCAGUCUGGUGGGUGCAGAUGUGCAGAAGCCUGGGUCGGGAGGCACCAAGCGCGGAUGGACCCUGCUCCCAUCCCAGGGCUUCUGACUCUCCACGUGUCUCACACCACUGGACCUCUCUCCUCCUGCCUCUGCCCUUGUUUCCCUUGGCAACUCUCUGGGCAUGUAGAGGCUCUCUCCAGGGGAAGAUAGACCAAAUCCUUCCCUCAUGGGUCCGCAGACCCUCCGAUUCCAGCCCCCCAGAGAUGGGGAUACUGCCAAGGGUUUCAAGCGAUCUUCCCGACUCGGCCUCCCAAAGAAUUGGAAUUGCAGGAAUGCGCCACCGCACCCGUUCCAGGUAUCUACUUUUUAUACAAAUUAAUAUUUCAGGGAACUCUCGAAAGUAAAAGUAGUCACAAAAAGCUGCAAGAGUUGCUGUGUUCCAGGACGGAGUCCGGGGUGGGGUCGGGGACCCCCACCCGCACUCAUACAGGGAAGCUCUGGUCCGAGUUUGGAGGCAACGGAACACCGGAAAUGCUGUGGAGGUCCGAGUGAGGUCAGGGCACACCGGACGGUUACCUUAAAGCUGCCAGGCGCGGUGGCUCACGCCUGUAAUCCCAGCACUUUGGGAGGCCGAGGUGGGCGGAUCACGAGGAGUUCGAGACCAGCCUGACCAACAUGG